CGUGGGCGUUGGAUGAUUGAAGGGAGUUGCUCCUAGUACGAGAGGACCGGAGUGAACGAACCUCUGGUGUUCGGGUUGUCACGCCAGUGGCACUGCCCGGUAGCUAAGUUCGGAAUCGAUAACCGCUGAAAGCAUCUAAGCGGGAAGCGAGCCCUGAGAUGAGUCAUCCCUGACCCCUUGAGGGUCCUAAAGGGCCGUUGGAGACCACAACGUUGAUAGGUGGGGUGUGUAAGCGCGGCGACGUGUUGAGCUAACCCAUACUAAUUACCCGUGAGGCUUAACCAUACAACACCCAAGAAGUAUUCU
rnacentral:rRNA from 1 species